rnacentral:rRNA from 1 species
AGAGUUUGAUCAUGGCUCAGAAUGAACGCUGGCGGCGUGCCUAACACAUGCAAGUCGAGCGAGAAAGUCUCUUCGGAGAUAAGUACAGCGGCGGACGGGUGAGUAACGCGUGAGAAUUUACCCUUAGUGAAGAAUACCUCUGAGAAAUCAGGGUUAAUACUGCAUACGUCCCUACGGGGAGAAAGGUGGCCUCUUUGCUGCCGCUAAAGGAUAAGCUUGCGUACUAUUAGCUAGUUGGUGAGGUAAAGGCUCACCAAGGCGAUGAUGGUUAGCCGGCCUGAGAGGGUGUACGGCCACACUGGAACUUAGACACGGCCCAGACUCCUACGGGAGGCAGCAGUGAGGAAUAUUGCGCAAUGGGCGAAAGCCUGACGCAGCGACGCCGCGUGGGGGAUGAAGGUCUUCGGAUUGUAAACUCCUGUUAAGUGGGAAGAAAGACCUAUUUCUAAUACAGAUAGGGGAUGACGGUACCAUUAGAGAAAGCACCGGCUAACUUCGUG